GUGAUUCGCAUAAUUGCCGUUAUGUAAGUGGUGGCAUUGUGAUAGACGUCAAAUAAUUACAUAACUUGUUGUUUAUAUUCGAAGACUUCGGCCAGCAAACACCGAGGAAGGGGUGAAAUGUUCGCAGCGGACUAAAUUUAAUAAAGGGCAUUCGUUUUCGAAAACGAUUGGGGCCAAAGAUGUGUUUCAGUCUCGAUGUGGUGUAUCAGGAUACGCGCCUGGCAAUCGAGCCCCCUUUUCGUUCUGAUUAGUUUCGUAAUUGCUGCAGGGCUCGUCGUCCAAUUAAAAACCCUCUACGACAAUCACCAGAGACAUUUGAGGGUGAUGGAUUAUGAGAAGAGUGUAGCGGAGCUGAGCGAUACCAUGGAUCACGUCGAGAAGGUGACCACGAAAAUUGGCACCAUGAAAAAGAAAAUCGAGGGAUUCCUUGCGACCCAUAAGAGGUCGGGUAGCUGACAAUUAAUGUUGGCUAGAAUAUUCGGCAUUAAUAGAAGCAACAAAUUGAGCGGUCGUAUGCUUUAAUUUUCGUUAUUGUUUUCUUUUACACACAGACACAGAAUGUUUUCUUUAAUUAUUUUAUUUAUGCACCUUGAAGAAAAAAAAAAGACAUGGGGAAUACUAAGAACUAACUAACUAAUGCACAAAGAUCUUUGUAGAUAGGAAACAUUUAUCUUUCUCUAGUACUUAGUAAUUAAAAUAUAAAAAAAUAUAUAAAAAUGCCAAUAAGACAAAUUGUGAUUAAACUUUGAGGAUGAAUCAUCCUUUCUAAAGAUGAAAUUAAUAUUUAAUAUACUAAAAGGAAAAAUAUGUCAAUAAUAAAAUUAUUAAUUAAGUAUUAACAUAACAUUUAUACUAAAUGUAGAACAUUUUGUGCUCAAUGAUGAGGGAGGAAACUGAUGAAGCUUGUUUUUGUCUGAUUACCUUAUUUGUUAUGUUUAAAGGUUUUAUUAUAUUUUAUGUUGGUUGUUUAUGGAGAAGUGUGGAAUUAAAUAUCGAGUGAUAAACAUU